CGGUAACGCGGGGCAACCUGGCGACGAGAGGCGGACGGGUGAGUAACGCUUGGGAAUCUACCUACUAGUGGGGGACAACCCGGGGAAACUCGGGCUAAUACCGCAUACGCACUACGGUGGAAAGCCGGGGACCGCAAGGCCUGGCGCUAGUAGAUGAGCCCAAGUCGGAUUAGCUAGUUGGCGGGGUAACGGCCCACCAAGGCUACGAUCCGUAGCUGGUCUGAGAGGACGACAGCCACACCGGAACUGAGACACGGUCCGGACUCCUACGGGAGGCAGCAGUGGGGAAUAUUGGACAAUGGGGGAAACCCUGAUCCAGCGACGCCGCGUGGGUGAAGAAGGCCUGCGGGUUGUAAAGCCCUUCGGUGGGGAAGAAAAGUUGUCGUGUAAUAAACGAUGACCUUGACGUAACCCACUAAAGAAGCACCGGCUAACUCUGUGCCAGCAGCCGCGGUAAUACAGAGGGUGCGAGCGUUAAUCGGAAUUACUGGGCGUAAAGCGCGCGUAGGCGGUUUGGCAAGUCGGAUGUGAAAUCCCCAGGCUUAACCUGGGAACUGCAUUCGAGACUGCUUUACUAGAGUAUGGGAGAGGGAAGUGGAAUUUCCGGUGUAGCGGUGAAAUGCGUAGAUAUCGGAAGGAACAUCAGUGGCGAAAGCGACUUCCUGGACCUAUACUGACGCUCAUGUGCGAAAGCGUGGGGAGCAAACAGGAUUAGAUACCCUGGUAGUCCACGCCAUAAACGAUGAGAACUGGAUGUCGAGGGGGUCUGCCUCUCGGUGUCGUAGCUAACGCGUUAAGUUCUCCACCUGGGGAGUACGGCCGCAGGGUUGAAACU
rnacentral:rRNA from 1 species